UGUUAAAAAUUUUAUUUAUUUAUACUAUUGAAAACUGGCAUGGCUGAGAUAGGUGGUGUGACUCAUGUACUUGAUGAUAGUGAUAGGUGGCGUGCCUCAUGUACCUGAUGACGAUAUACAUAGAACAGUUUUUAACAAUAAAAAUAGAUGAAUUUUUUAAUA
rfam:Gossypium arboreum cultivar AKA8401 contig_9305_3, whole genome shotgun sequence.